UUUUUUUUGCAGAAACAAGAAAUGAUAACGCUUUAAAUACCCAAACACUACACCAGACUCCUAAAGCAAAGCACAAAGUGCAGCAUUUAGAGCUGCUGUGUGCAUCAUGCCAUCCAGAACUGAAGCCCGGAAAAUGCCUCUACAAAUUAUAAUGUGGUUAUAAUGUAACGCUAUAGCCUAUAAUAGAAAGCAUCGUACUGUAGCCAACAUUAAAAGGUAUGUUACUGUAACAUCAUCAAGGAAAGAAAACCUGGAGAGUGUGGAGGCUCCAUCAACUUCCAGAUAGUAAAAGAAAACUCAUGUGAACCUGUGC